UACAGAGGGUGCAAACGUUGUUCGGAAUUACUGGGCGUAAAGCGCAUGUAGGCGGCUACGUAAGUCGGACGUGAAAUCCCACGGCUCAACCGUGGAAGUGCGCUCGAUACUGUGUAGCUUGAGUCCUGGAGAGGAAGGCGGAAUACUUGGUGUAGAGGUGAAAUUCGUAGAUAUCAAGUAGAACACCAGUGGCGAAGGCGGCCUUCUGGACAGUGACUGACGCUGAGAUGCGAAAGCGUGGGGAGCAAACAGG
rnacentral:rRNA from 1 species